GCAAACUUGGUCAUUUAGAGGAAGUAAAAGUCGUAACAAGGUCUCCGUUGGUGAACCAGCGGAGGGAUCAUUACUGAGUUUCACAACUCUUCAACCCUAUGUGAACUGAAGUCUGGUUGCUUCAGGCAGGCGGUCCCCGGGGGGGACCGCAGCCUCACUGAGGCGCCUGCCGGAGGAUACCUAAACUCGUUUUAAUAUGCAACUCUCUGAGUGAUAAAAACAAAUGAAUCAAAACUUUCAACAACGGAUCUCUUGGUUCUGGCAUCGAUGAAGAACGCAGC
rnacentral:misc_RNA from 1 species